GACGAACGCUGGCGGCGUGCUUAACACAUGCAAGUCGAACGAUGAAGAAAAGAAUUGAAGCUUCGGCAGAAAUUCAUUUCGGAUUAGUGGCAGACGGGUGAGUAACGCGUGAGCAACCACCUCUUACAAAGGGAUAGCCUCGGGAAACCGGGAUUAAUACCAUAUAACAUUGCGACGAAGCAUUUCGAUGCAAUCAAAGCUACGGCGGUAAGAGAUGGGCUCGCGUCCCAUUAACCAGAUGGUGAGGUAACGGCUCACCAUAGUAACGAUGGGUAACCGGCCUGAGAGGGUGAACGGUCACACUGGAACUGAGACACGGUCCAGACUCCUACGGGAGGCAGCAGUGGGGAAUAUUGCACAAUGGAGGGAACUCUGAUGCAGCGACGCCGCGUGAGUGAUGAAGGAAUUCGUUUCGUAAAACUCUGUUCUAUGGGAAGAAAAGGACUGUACCAUAGGAGAAAGCUCCGGCUAAAUACGUG
rnacentral:rRNA from 1 species